rnacentral:sRNA from 1 species
GCUUUCGCCUCCGCCUGUGGAUGCUGCGCCUCUCCGAACGGAACAUGAAGGUGCUUCUUGCCGCCGCCCUCAUCGCGGGGUCCGUCUUCUUCCUGCUGCUGCCGGGACCUUCUGCGGCCGAUGAGAAGAAGAAGGGGCCCAAAGUCACCGUCAAGAAAGGAUUUGGCUACAAAAACAGCAAAUUCCAUCGUGUAAUCAAGGACUUCAUGAUCCAGGGCGGAGACUUCACCAGGGGAGAUGGCACAGGAGGAAAGAGCAUCUACGGUGAGCGCUUCCCCGAUGAGAACUUCAAACUGAAGCACUACGGGCCUGGCUGGGUGAGCAUGGCCAACGCAGGCAAAGACACCAAUGGCUCCCAGUUCUUCAUCACAACAGUCAAGA